GGCCUCGGCCCGAGUUGUAAUUUGUAGAGGAAGCUUUUGGUGCGGCACCGACCGAGUCCCCUGGAACGGGGCGCCAUAGAGGGUGAUAGCCCCGUAUGGUUGGACGCCUAUCCUCUGUAAAGCUCCUUCGACGAGUCGAGUAGUUUGGGAAUGCUGCUCUAAAUGGGAGGUAGAUUCCUUCUAAAGCUAAAUACCGGCCAGAGACCGAUAGCGCACAAGUAGAGUGAUCGAAAGAUGAAAAGCACUUUGAAAAGAGGGUUAAAUAGCACGUGAAAUUGUUGAAAGGGAAGCGCCUGUGACCAGACUUGCGCCCCGUCGAUCAUCCGGGGUUCUCCCCGGUGCGCUCGGCGGGGCUCAGGCCAGCAUCGGUUCUCGCGGGGGGACAAAGGCUCCGGGAACGUAGCUCCUCCGGGAGUGUUAUAGCCCGGGGCGUAAUGCCCUCGCGGGGACCGAGGACCGCGCUUCGGCAAGGAUGCUGGCGUAAUGGUCACCGGCGACCCGUCUUGAAACACGGACCAAGGAGUCAAGGUUUUGCGCGAGUGUCUGGGUGUAAAACCCGCACGCGUAAUGAAAGUGAACGUAGGUGAGAGCUUCGGCGCAUCAUCGACCGAUCCUGAUGUAUUCGGAUGGAUUUGAGUAGGAGCGUUAAGCCUUGGACCCGAAAGAUGGUGAACUAUGCUUGGAUAGGGUGAAGCCAGAGGAAACUCUGGUGGAGGCUCGCAGCGGUUCUGACGUGCAAAUCGAUCGUCAAAUCUGAGCAUGGGGGCGAAAGACUA
rnacentral:rRNA from 1 species